rnacentral:rRNA from 1 species
UACGUAGGGGGCUAGCGUUGUCCGGAUUUAUUGGGCGUAAAGAGCGUGUAGGCGGCCUGGUAGGUCUGCUGUGAAAACUCGAGGCUCAACCUCGAGAUGUCGGCGGAAACCAUCUGGCUAGAGUCCGGAAGAGGAGAGUGGAAUUCCUGGUGUAGCGGUGGAAUGCGCAGAUAUCAGGAAGAACACCUAUGGCGAAGGCAGCUCUCUGGGACGGUACUGACGCUGAGACGCGAAAGCGUGGGGAGCGAACAGG